AUUGAACGCUGGCGGCAUGCCUUACACAUGCAAGUCGAACGGCAGCACGGGAGCAAUCCUGGUGGCGAGUGGCGAACGGGUGAGUAAUGUAUCGGAACGUACCUUUCAGUGGGGGAUAACGUAGCGAAAGUUACGCUAAUACCGCAUAUUCUGUGAGCAGGAAAGCAGGGGAUCGCAAGACCUUGCGCUGAUUGAGCGGCCGAUAUCAGAUUAGCUAGUUGGUGAGGUAAAGGCUCACCAAGGCGACGAUCUGUAGCGGGUCUGAGAGGAUGAUCCGCCACACUGGAACUGAGACACGGUCCAGACUCCUACGGGAGGCAGCAGUGGGGAAUUUUGGACAAUGGGCGCAAGCCUGAUCCAACCAUGCCGCGUGAGUGAAGAAGGCCUCGGUUG
rnacentral:rRNA from 1 species